rnacentral:rRNA from 1 species
UACGUAGGGAGCAAGCGUUGUCCGGAAUCAUUGGGCGUAAAGCGCGCGUAGGUGGCCCUGUAAGUCCGUUGUGAAAGUCAAAGGCUCAACCUUUGAAAGCCGAUGGAUACUGCAGGGCUAGAGUACGGAAGAGGCGAGUGGAAUUCCUGGUGUAGCGGUGGAAUGCGCAGAUAUCAGGAGGAACACCGGUGGCGAAGGCGGGUCUCUGGGCCGAUACUGACGCUGAGGAGCGAAAGCGUGGGGAGCGAACAGG